CUCCGCGCCGGUCGGGGAGCCGCGAGCGCCCGGCGCCCGGGACGUGCCUGCCUCCGGCCGCCGCGCCUCUGCCGCGGCCGGUCCGGCGGCCUCCACCCUCUCCCGCCGAGCCGGCUUCACUCCGGCUCCCUCCAGAGGCUGCGCUCGUCGUCCCGUUUCGGACUUUGAUUGCUUACGGAGGGGAUUUGUCUUCUUCUAUUUCUUUCUCCUUUUACGAUUUGAAAAGGAGAAAAGAACGCACGGCAAGCUGGGACGGUGAAGCGCCACCAGCUGCCCCCACGUGGACACCUCCGAGGCGAAAGGGAGUUGGACGCACACUUGGGCCGGCCGGCCUUGAGGCCUCCACUUCGCCGGACUCCCAGGCCUGGGGUCAUGACUCUCAGGCCCGGCAGGUGGAAGGCGUUGACUGUCCUGGGCUGGACCUGAGCCCCGGCCCCCGCUGCAACAACCCGCACCCCCGCCCCGCGCUCACCGACACACCGGCCACCUGGGCUAGGCUCUGACUCGCGCCUGCGACAUGGAUAAGUACGGCGACCUGGGCCUGGAGGCCAGCAAAUUCAUUGAGGACCUGAACAUGUACGAGGCCUCCAAGGAUGGACUCUUCCGAGUGGACAAGGGGGCAGGCAACAACCCUGAGUUUGAGGAAACGCGCAGGGUGUUUGCCACCAAGAUGGCCAAGAUCCACCGCCAGCAGCAGCAACAGCUUCUGCAGGAGGAGACCUUGCCCAGGGGGGGCAGAGGUCCGGUCAACGGCGGGGGCCCCCCAGGCCCACAGGUCCGACGGGAUGCCGCCGUGGGCCACAAGCUGACCCCGGAUGGUGCUACCAAGCCCCCUCUCGCUGCCUCGACAGCGGGUCCUGGGACGGCCACCGCCGUCGCCUCUGGGCAGCCCUUGUAUCCACCCCAGGACCAGAGGGCCAGGCCGUAUGUCCGCAGCGGAAGCCACGGCAGCCAGGACUGUGGCUCCAGGGAGAGCCUGGCACGCUGGGAGAUGUCUGCUUUCCGCCAGCCCGGCCCCUGCGAGGAUCCUUCCUGCCUCACCCACGGAGACUAUUAUGACAACCUCUCUUUGGCGAGCCCAAAGUGGGCUGAUGAACCGGGAGUGUCCCCCAGCAUCAGGGUGGGCGUCGGGAGUGGGUGGCCUGGCACCCCAGGGACUACUGAAGCACCGCUGUCCAAACCCUCCGGGGACCAUCCCCUGUACCAGCCUCAGCUGGCCCCAAGCUCCAGCCAGUCGUCAGAGACCGGCCAAGAUGGCGGUGUUGGUGGCCGCAGCUGUGAGAAGCCAGCCGGGCUUUGGACUACCGCCUCUUCCCAGCGGGUGAGCCCCGGCCUUUCUUCCCCCGGCCCGGAGAACGGGGCCCUCAGGGGGCCCACUCAGCCCAGGACCCCUUCUUUCUUGACACCCUUGGCCCAGAGCUGCCCCAGCCAAGGAGCUCUUCCCAGAACAAACUUGGGCGUGGGGAGCGAGGUAUCGGGCACCACGCCCAAACCCACUGUGGACCCUCAAGCCUGGUUCCAAGAUGGACCCAAGUCUUACCUUUCUAGUUCCGCCCCAUCAUCCUCACCAGCCAGCGUGGACGGUUUGCCGUCGGGUGCGGCCCCUGGACUGGGUCCCAAGCCUGUCUGCACGGACCCUGGCGUUGGUCCCAAGCUCAGCCCCACCAGCCUUGUCCAUCCGGUGAUGUCCACCCCGCCUGAGUUAUCUUGUAAAGAAGGCCCCUCCGGCUGGUCAUCUGAUGGCAGCCUGGGGCCUGGGCUCCGGGAGAGCCCCAGUCCCCCCAGGGUGAGGCUGCCCUGCCAGACCCUCAUCCCGGGCCCCGAGCUUGGGCCCUCAGCCGCCGAACUGAAGUUAGAAGCCCUCACUCAGCGUCUGGAGCGUGAGAUGGAUGGUCACCCGAAGGCCGAUUACUUUGGAGCCUGUGUGAAAUGCAGCAAAGGGGUGUUCGGGGCCGGCCAGGCCUGCCAGGCCAUGGGGAACCUCUACCACGAUGCGUGCUUCACCUGUGCGGCCUGCAGCCGGAAGCUGAGAGGAAAAGCCUUUUAUUUUGUCAACGGCAAAGUGUUUUGCGAGGAGGACUUCCUGUACUCCGGGUUCCAGCAAUCUGCCGACAGGUGUUUCCUUUGUGGACAUCUGAUCAUGGAUAUGAUCCUGCAGGCCCUCGGGAAGUCCUACCACCCCGGCUGCUUCCGCUGCGUCAUCUGCAACGAGUGCCUGGAUGGGGUGCCCUUCACCGUGGACUCCGAGAACCAGAUCUACUGUGUCCGAGAUUACCACAAGGUGCUGGCCCCCAAGUGUGCAGCCUGUGGGCUUCCCAUCCUUCCACCUGAGGGCUCAGAUGAGACCAUCCGCGUCGUGUCCAUGGACAGAGACUUCCACGUGGAGUGCUACCACUGCGAGGACUGCGGCCUGGAACUCAACGACGAGGACGGCCACCGCUGCUACCCCCUGGAAGACCACCUGUUCUGUCACCCCUGCCACGUCAAGAGACUGGAGAAGAGCCCCUCCCCUGCAGCCCUCCACCAGCACCGCUUCUAGCCGGAGCCUCUUCCAGACCUCGCGUUGGCGACCAGCAGCCAGCGUCGCAAAGCCAGACAUCUGCCUGCUCAUUCCAGUGGCCCCGCGGGGUGGUCGCGGGGGUGGGGGGGUGGGGAGGGGGGCCAGGCAGGUAAGUUUCUGUAUACGCGUGGGGCGCCGCUCCUUCAACCUCCCUGUCUGGUAGGUGUUACUUUCCAAGUGCCUUUCUCCGCCGCCCCGCCCUCAUCGGAUUACUCAGGGAGAUACUCUAGCAGGUGCAUGGCGUGUGACACCCCAAGGAGCCCUCCGGGCCCCUCUGGGAACAGCUCGUGCUUUAGAGGGAAAAGUUUGCGCUGAGCGUACUUCUCGGUGUCCUCUGAGGAGGGCUCAGCUGCCGAUACCUUCAGCCCCUCCCUGUCCCUUUAGGAAAGCACCCGCAUCAGACAUUACCCCCGGUGGCCCCCACCCCCACCCCCCCGCCACGCACACGACAUGAUUUGAGACUGCACCCUCGACACGCACACGCAGCGUUAUUGGAGACGUCUCUCCGCCCCAGAGACUCCGGUCUUCUGUCCGAUGGCUGCAGAUUUUAACCGCAUUGUGGCAAGAGGGGAGCUGUGCCCGUGCGCUGUGUCCGAGGAAGAACUCCUUGGUAAACCGGAGCCGAGUUGUGGACUGAGCGAGCCGGGGUUUCCUCCGCGUACGCUGACAGCGUCUUGCCUGCUCCUGCAAAUCUUCACUCCCUGACAGGCAGCUGGGAGCCCGGGCGGAGGUUUGCCCCGUUCGAUAGCGAGGCGUGUUUGGGACGAGAACUCGGGUGCGGGUACCAGGCGUCCUUUGCCCUCCUGUUUGCACCGUCCUCCUCUGGAGCUCUCGAGAGUCUGGGACUUUGGAGUCGCUCCCACAGAGGCAAGUCUCAGGAUCCCGUGUGGGGACAUCUCUGUGCCUGUCGUAGCUUAUCUAACCACGGGCUUUGGGGAAGCCUUGCCCAUGUGCUGAGAGCUGGCGCAUACACGAGGAGACUGUGUGUGUGUGUGUGUGUGUGUGUGUGUGUGUGUGUGUCACAGUGACAUCUCCAGCCAGCACGAGACAGAGAGCCUCAGGAAAAAUCACCAUGUUCGUUUUCCACCGUGUCUCGUCUGUGCUUGGCUCGGGCGUGGCCUGCGAAGAAACCCGCAGAAGGUACACUGCUUUGGUCUGUUUCUUUUCUUGUUUUUCAUUGUUUUCCUCCGCUUGCGGUCUUCCACGCGCACAAAAAUACCUCACAGGUCAGGGCUUCACCAAAUCGCACGUCGGGAGGAACUCGGCCGUCACACUGAACUCAGAGAUGCCUCCGUGGGGGCGUGAGGGGUCUCGGCCUCCACGCGGGCCAGACUCCCGCGGGUCAGGGCGCUGUGAUCUCAGCUGAAAGUCAGCUGAGAGUGGAUCCGGUUGAACGUGGGUGCUGUUGCCUGACACGUUUCAUCAUGUCGGUUCCCCGGGGUGGCGAGGGGCUAAGGGAGGGCCGCACCCGGGCAGGAUUUCAGGGCCACCUGUGCGCUGACGUGUCACACUCCUGAGGCCAGACGUCAGUACGCCUGGUAUUUCAAUGAAGAGGCGGUGUAAAAGACUUAAAAAAGGAGGUUGCCUGCCGUUCGCCCUCUCGGCCCGUGGGGAGGGCCCCCUGGCCUCGGUGUUGUUGCCGGAGGUCGGGGGUCACGUCACUGCUGCCAGCUGGUCUGGGAGUAUUGCCCUGGCACCCGCUCACCACCGCCUCCCCGCCUCGCACCCAGGGCAGCAGGGGCCACGGAGGGCAGUCACCGGAGCCCGAGGCCCACGGGACUCGCAGACUUUACAGUGGGCCCGGCUCCAAUUCUGAGCCGUGUUUUGACCCGUUUCGGGGGCAGUUGCUACAGGAGGCACAGAAUGGGCACCGUGAGUUGCCUCCUAUGUUUAUUCAGUUCGUUUUGCUAGAAUCCUUUGGCCAGAUGUCCCUUCAGCCCAGGCUGCGUGGUCUCAUCGAUCCCAUCCUACAGGCCGAGCCUCCAGAAGCCUGGCGCCGCGUGGGGCCGGGGGUGGGGAGAGAACCCCUCUCUCCCCAGCUGGGCCCAGGAAGCCAGCCGAUGUGUCUCGUCUUUGCCAACCGAGGAACGUCUCUGGCCUUGCCGACACCCCUUUGCUCUGAUUGCAAGUCGGGCAGAAAGUGAAGAAGACUGCCUGAGAGCGACUGUCAAAAGCAGGGAUGUGUGUGCAAAGUGGGUAACUAAUGCUCUGGUGCAAACCUCGCUCAGCCGAAUCGACCGAGGUUGUGCUGUUGAGUCCUGGGCGGCGAAUGCAGUAAGGAGUUCUGAUCGCCGUCACCCGCCGCCAUCACCCUGUGGCCGUGGGCUGCAGUCACACUCACACGAGGAAAAAUGUCAGGACCUGAGAGAAUGACUUGGAACCCCCCAUGCUUGGCAGGCUGGUUUGUGCGGGCCAUUUCCCGUGCGUGGGGAAGUGUGGCAGCCGUGAUGCCUGCCGGUUCCCUCGAAACCACGUGUGCAAGACUUGACCCCAAAUCCGCCUUGUUGCUGGAUGCACCUGUCAUGGCUCUGUCCGCCUUUGUGCCAGGAAUACGUUCUAACUUCCAGGUGAUUUGAAGUCAGUCUUAAAAGUAAUAGGCUAAAAUGAGUAAAAUACAGUAGCUAUUUGUUCUGAGCAGGAGCUGGACAGGUGUGGGAAAUUUCCGUAUAGUGUAUGAAAAUUUCACCGUGCAGGGAAAUGAUUUUCCACUGUAUCUCGUCUUCUAUGGUAAAAAAAAAAAAAAAAUUCUUCAAAAUUGUACUGUUGCUGUAAGAUGAUUC